CAGCAGUGAGGAAGGUGGUGCAGUUAAUAGCUGUAUCAUUUGACGUUAGCUGCAGAAGAAGACACCGGCUAACUCCGUGCCAGCAGCCGCGGUAAUACGGAGGGUGCGAGCGUUAAUCGGAAUUACUGGGCGUAAAGCGCAUGCAGGUGGUUUGUUAAGUCAGAUGUGAAAGCCCGGGGCUCAACCUCGGAAUUGCAUUUGAAACUGGCAGACUAGAGUACUGUAGAGGGGGGUAGGAAUUUCAGGUGUAGCGGUGAAAUGCGUAGAGAUCUGAAGGAAUACCGGUGGCGAAGGCGGCCCCCUCGGACAGAUACUGACACUCAGAUGCGAAAGCGUGGGGAGCAAACAGGAUUAGAUACCCUGGUAG
rnacentral:rRNA from 1 species